rnacentral:rRNA from 1 species
AGGACGAACGCUGGCGGCGUGCUUAACACAUGCAAGUCGAGCGGUAGGGCCCUUCGGGGUACACGAGCGGCGAACGGGUGAGUAACACGUGGGUGACCUGCCCCCUACUCUGGGAUAAGCCUGGGAAACUGGGUCUAAUACCGGAUAUGACCUGCUGUCGCAUGAUGGUGGGUGGAAAGUUUGUUCUUAAUUGGACACUUCGGUGGAGGAUGGGCCCGCGGCCUAUCAGCUAGUUGGUGGGUGAUGGCCCACCAAGGCGACGACGGGUA